rnacentral:rRNA from 1 species
GACGUAGGUGGCAAGCGUUAUCCGGAUUUACUGGGCGUAAAGCGUGUGCAGACGGGUGUUCAAGUGGUGUAUGAAAUCGCUCGGCUCAACCGGGCGCGGGUAUGCCAGACUGGACACCUGGAGACAGAGAGAGGGACGUGGAAUUCCGGGUGUAGUGGUGAAAUGCGUAGAGAUCCGGAGGAACCCCUGAGGCGAAGGCGGCGUCCUGGCUCUGUUCUGACGUUCAGACACGACAGCAUGGGGAGCGAACGGG